CCACAUGCGGCUCUUUGAUCUCUGUGAUGCGGCUCCCCGUGGUUUGUUAGCUUUUGAAAUGUAAUUCGAAAUUUGAAGAUUAUGGUGAUCUUGUACAAUAUGAAAACUUUGUGGAGACACCGUUUCCUGGCACAUCCGAACCGGCUCACAAUUAGCUACCGUUCCGACUAAGGGAGAUAGCCUACGGGGGUUUGUGAGUACGUGUCUUUUGGAGCAUCCGCGCCCACGGGGACGGGUUGAGGGAGGCUUUAAAGCAAGGCUGUUUAGUUCGAAUAAAGUUACCUUUGACUGCAGUCUUUAUUUUAGCGCUGCGUGUAGCACACCGCUACAACGUGUUUUUUAUCGCUAUUAAUAUACAUCACAACUGCCAAUGCGCGCCAGUGCGCGCUUUCUUUUAAUUCUUCGAUCCAAGGUAGGCUACCUACGGAGUAACCUUCAACCCAACGUCUUUUUUUCGGAGUUCAAAAUGUUUUUGUUGCAUGCAGAAAUGUAAUUUCGUUUUCUCUGCAGGAGUUCAUCAAUUUCAUAAAUGCAACACAUUAUAGUUUGUUUAUACAUAGCAUAAAGGCAAAAAAAAACCGUUGUAUGCAGUGUUAUUUCAUUUUGUGGCUCCCAGUGUUUUCUUUUCUGUGGGAAAUGGGUCCAUAUUGGCUCUUUCAGUGGUAAACGUUGCCGACCCCUGGUCUAUACAUAGUCCAUAUCAGACCAUUAUUUAUAUGAGCAGAAUUAGGCCACUUGGCCCAUCAAGUCUGCUCUGCCAUUUUAUCAUGGCUAAUUCAAUUUUCCUCUUAGCCCCAAUCUCCUGCCUUCUCCCCGUAUCCUUUCAUGCUGUGACCAAUCAAGAAUCUGUCAACUUCUGCCUUAAAUAUACAUACAGACUUGGCCUCCACAGCUGCCUGUGGCAAAGAAUUCCACAGAUUCACCACUUUCUGGCUAAAGAACUUCCUCCUCAUCUCCAUUCUAAAAGAAUGGAGGCUGUUUUCUCUGGUCUUAGACUCUCCCAUCUUUGGGAACAUCCUGUCCACAUCCACUCUGUCAAGGUCUUUCACCGUUCUAUAGGUUUCAAUGAGGCUGCCCCUCAUUCUUCUGAAUUCUAGUGAAUACAGGCCCAAGCCAUCAAACGCUCUUCAUAUGACAAACCAUUCAAUCCUGGAAUCAUUUUCGUGAACCUCCUUCGAACCCUCUCCAGUUUCAGCACAUCCUUUCUAAGAUAAGGGGCCCAAAAUUGCUCACAAUAUUCCAAGUGAGGCCUCACCAGUGCUUUAUAAAAUCUCAACAUUACAUCCUUGCUUUUAUAUUCUAGUCUUCUUGAAAUGAAUGCUAACAUUGUAUUUGCCUUCCUCACCAUAGAUGCAACCUGCAAAUGAACCUUUAGGGUAUCCUGCACAAGGACUCCCAAGCCCUCUUACACCUUAGUUUUUUGUAUAUUCUCUCCAUUUAGAAAAUAGUCAACCCUUUCUUUUCUUCCAUCAAAGUGCAUAACCAUACACUUCCUGACACUAUUCCAUCUGCCAUUUCUUUGCCCAUUCUCCUAAACUGUAGCCUCUCUACUUCCUCAAAAUACCUUCCCCUCCACCUAUCUUCACAUUGCCUGUAAACUUCGCAACUCAAUCAUCAAUUUCGUCAUACAAGUCAUUGACAUAAAAUAUAAAAAAAAGGUCCCAACACAGUCAUUGGCAGCCAACCAGAAGAGGCUCCCUUUAUUCCCACUUUUUGCCUCCUGCCAAUCAGCCACUACUUUAUCCAUGCUAGAAUCUUUCCUGUAAUACUGUGGGCUUGUAGCUUGUUAAGCAGCCUCAUGUGUGGCACUUUGUCCAAGGCCUUCCAAAAAUCCAAGUACCCAACAUCAAAGAUUCUCCUUUGUCUAUCCUGCUUAUUAUUGCUUCAAAGAAUUCCAACAGAUUUGUCAGGCAAGAUUUUCUCUUGAGGAAGCCAUGUUGACUAUGGCCUAUUUUAUCAUGUGCCUCCAAGUACCCUGAAACUUCAUCUUUAAUAAUCGACUCCAACAUCUUUGCAACUAACUGGCCUAUAGUUUCUUCCGCCUCUCUCCCUUCUUGAGGAGUCAAGUGAUAUUUGCGAUUUUCCAGUCUUCUGGAACCAUUACAGAAUCCAGCGAUUCUUGAAAGAUAGUUAUUAGUGCUUCCAUGAUCUCUUCAGCCACCUCUUUCAGAACCCUGGGGUGUACUCCAUCGGGUCCAGGUGACGUAUUUACUUUACGACCUUGCAGUUUCCCAAGAACCUUUUCUCUAGUUAUGGUAACUUCAGGCACUUUAUGACCCCUGACACCUGGAAUUUCCAACAUCCUGCUGGUGUCUUCCACAGUGAAGACUGACGCAAGAUACUUACUCAGUUUGUCCGCCAUUUCCUUGUCCUCCAUUACUAUCUCUCCAGCAUUGUUUUCCAGUGGUCCAAUAUCCACUCUUGCCCCUCUUUUACACUUUCUGUAUCUGAAGAAACUUUUGGUAUCCUCUUUAAUAUUAUUGGCUAGCUUACUUUUGUAUUCCUUCUUUAUCUUCUUAAUUCUUUUAGUUGCCUCCUGUUAGUUUUUAUACGCUUCCCAAUCCUCUAACUUCCUACUAAUUUUUGCUCUUUGGCUUUUAUAUUGGCUUGAAUUCUCUUGUUAGCAUGGUUGUGACACAUUUCCUUUGGAUCAGUUCUUCCUCUUUGGAUGUAUAUAUCCAGUGCCUUCCACGUUGCUUCCAGAAAUUCCAGCCAUUGCUGCUGUGCCAUCACCCCUGCCAGUGUUAUUUUUCCAACCAAUUCUGGCCGACUCCUCCCUCAUGCCUCUGUAAUUCCCUUUUCUCAACUGUAAUACGGAUACAUCUGACUUCAGCUUCUUCUCAAAUUUCAGGGUGAAUUCAAUCAUACUAUGAUCACUUGGCCCUAAGAGUUCUCUUACCUUAAGCUCUCUAAUCAAUUCUGGUUCAUUGCACAACACACAUUCCAGAAUAGCUGAUCCCCAAAUGGGCUCAACCACGAGCUGUUCUAAAAAGCAAUCUCGUAGGCAGUCUAGAAAUUCUCCCUCCUGGAAUCCAGCACCAACCUGAUUUUCCCAAUCUACCUGCAUGUUGAAGUCUUACAUGAGUAUUGUAACAUCCCCUAGUCCCUUUGUGUUGACUGGUAUGUCUAACUGCUCCCUUCAUCUCACCAUCAUACAUGCCCUUCUCUUUGAUAAAUACUGUUGUGAAUUUCCAUAAUCUCAUCUGAUUACGUUCUUAUCUGCUUGGCUCUUGACCUAUUUCACUUUCCGUAAAUAUUAAAGCCUCACAAACUCUCUGCAUACGUGGAUUAUGUCUAACUUUUUGGGAAUAAUCAUAGAUCAUGGAACAUUACAGCACAGCGUAGGCCCUUUGGCCUGUGUUGUGCCGACCUUUUUUACAGACAAUAUUAAUCUAAUUGCUUCCUUCCCACAUAGUUCUCCAUUUUUCUUUCAUCCAUGAGCCUGUCAAAGAGUCUCUGAAAUGUCCAUAAUGUAUCUUUCUUUACCACCACCCCGGCGGUGCAUUUUACGCACCUAUCACUCUCUGGAGUAACAAAAACUGUCUGAUAUCUCCCCUACACUUUCCCCUAAGUACCUUAAAAUUCAUGUCCCCUUGUAUUAGCCAUUUUCACCUGGGAAAUAGUCUCUGGCUAUCCACUCUAUGCCUCUUAUCAUCUUGUACAACUCUGUGAAGUCACCUCUCAUGCUCCUUUGCUCCAAACAAAAGCACUAACUCACUCAAUCUAUUCUCAUCCAUGCUUUCUAAUCCAUGCAAUAUCUUGGUAAAUCUCCUCUGCACCCUUUCUACAUCCUUCCUAUAAUGAAAUGACCAGAUCUGAAUACAAUAUUCCAAAUGUAGUCUGUACAGAGUUUUAUAGAGCUGCAAUAUUACCUCAUAGCUCUUAAAUUUAAUCCCCUGACUAAUGAAGGCCAACACACCAUAGUCCUUUUUAACCACCACACCUUUGAGGGAACUGUGGAUGUGGACCUCGACCCCUCUGUUCAUCCAUAUUAAAAUAACAUUACGGUAAGCAUGAUUAACACUGUAUUCUUCCCUCAAGUUUGGCCUCCCAAAGUAUAGCACAUCACAAUUUUCUGGAUUGAACUCCAUUUGCCACUUUUCAACCCAGAUCUGCAUCUUAUCUAUGUCCCACUGUAAACUAGAGCAAUCUUCUACACUAUCCACAAACAACUAAUUUGUCAUCUGCAAACUUCCUUACUCACCCAUCCAUUUCCUCAUUCAAAUCAUUUACAAAAGUCACGAAGAUCAGGGGCUCCAGAACAAAUCCCUGUGGAAUACCAAUGGUCACUAACCUCCAGGUAGAAUGUGCUCCAUCUACUCCCACCCUCUGCCUCUGGGUGCAUGUCAAUUCUCAAUCCACAGAAUUUCCCUGGAACCCAUGCCUCCUGACUUUCUGAAUAAGCCUACCAAGGAACCCUUGUCAAAUGCCUUACUAUAAUCCAUAUACAUUACAUCCACUGUUCUAUCUUCAUCAAUCUGUCACUCUCUCAGAGAAUUCUUUCAGGCUCUUGAGGUAUGAUGUACCUUUCACAAAGCAUUGUUGACUAUCCCUAAUUGGAGUAUGCUUCUCCAAAUCUUUGUAAUUCCUAUGAGUUCUUUCCAAUAGUUUGUCAAACCACUGAUGUAAGACUUACUGGUCUGUAAUUCUCUUGCUCAUCCCUAUUACCUUUCUGAAACAAAGGAAUAACAUUUGCCACCCUCCAAUCUUCUGGUACCACUUGUUUGGCUAGGGAGGAUGUAAAAAUCAUGGCCAAGGAUGGAAGAAUCUUCUCCCUUGCUUCCAUGGUAACCUCAGGUUUGGUAGGCCCUGGAGACAUCUCAAUCCUAAAUGUUUUCAAAAGUUCCAGUGCAUCCACUUCCUUAACGUUCCAGCAUUUUAGCCUAUUCUACGCUGUCCUAAUAUUGUCAAGGUCUCUCUCGCUGGUAAAUACUGAAGCAAAGUAUUCAUUAAGGACCUCCUCUAUCUCCUCCAACUCCAGGCACACCUUUCUUCUCUUUUCUCUGAUCUGAGCUAAUCACUCUAGCCAUUCUCCUCUUCUUCAUGUUCAUGUAGAAUGCCUUGGGUUUUCCCUUAAUCCCACUUGCCAAAGCCUUCUCAUGUCCCCUUCUAAUUCUCCUAAGUCCCUUCUUAAUAUCUUUCCUGGUUACCCUGUGACUCUUUCUUUCUUCCUCUUGACUAGAUGUUUCACAUCUCUUGUCAACAAUGUUUCCUUCAACAUACCACUAUUUCCCUGUCUCAAUAGACAAACCUAUCCAGAACCUUAUGCAAGUGCUCCUUAAACAACCUCCACAUUUCCUUUGUGCAUUUCUCUGAGUAGAUUUAUGCUCCCAAUUUAUGCUCCCAAGUUCCUGCCUAAUAGCAUCUUAAUUCACCCUCCCCUCCCAUUAAACUCUUCCCCAUACUGCCUGAACCUAUCCCUAUCCAAAGGUAUGGUAAAGGUCAGGGAGUUGUGGUCACGUUUUCCAACAUGCAAACCCACUGAGAGAUGUCACCUGACUUUGCUCAUUGCCUAGUAGCAGAUCCAGAAUGUCAGCUUGUCUCCUUACACUUAGUGGCCACUUUAUUUCUUUAGAUCCCUCCUGGACCUAAUAAAGUGGCCUGGAAGUUAUGUCUGUGAUCUUCUGCUGCUGUAACCCCUCUACUUCAAGAUUCAAUGUGUUGUGCAUUUAGAGAUGCUCUUCUGCACACCACUGUUGUAACAUAUGGUUAUUUGAAUUACUGUCUCUUUCCUGUCAACUUGAACCAGUCUGGCCAUCCUACUCUGACUUCCAUCAUUAACAAGGCAUCUUCGCCCACAGAAUUGCUACUUGCUGGAUGUUAUUUUGCCUUUUGCACCAUUCUCUGUAAACUCUAGAGACCUGUGUGUGAAAAUCCCAAGAAAUCAGAAGUUUCUGAGAUACUCAAACCACCCCAUUUGGCACCAAAAAAUCAUUCAUGUGGUCAAAGUCACUUAGAUCACAUCUAUACCCAUCCUGAUGUUUGGUCUGAACAAUUACUGAACCUCUUGACCAUGUUUGUAUGCUUUUAUGCAUUGAGUUGCUGCCACAUGAUUGGCUGAUGGGGAAUUUGCUUAACGUGUGGACGUACAAGUGUACCUGAUAAAGUAGGCCACUGAGCGUGAGUGAGUUGUGGAAAGUUUAAAGGUGAUGUGCAGGGCAAGUUUCUUUUUUACUGAGUGGUAGGUGCCUCAAAUUAGCUGCCAGGGGUAGUGGUGGAAGCAGACAUGAUUUUAUAUAGGCAUGUAAAUAUGCAGGAAAUAGAUCGUGUGCAGGCAGAAGAGAUUUAGUUUAAUGUGGCAUUGUGUUCAUGGACCAAAGAGCCUAUUCCUUUGUUGUACUAUUCUAUGAAAGCAGUAUGAAGCAACAUCCUGUGCAACUUCCAGAGGCCCAGACUAUUCAUGUAGAUUUUAUCAUGACUGGUGAGAAACAAAUUCAAAUGAUUAACUAAACAAAACUGAAAUGACAAGUUACAAUAGUGAAACUUAAACUACUGGGUUGCUUUAAAAACUAUUAGGUCAGUAUUGGGUUCUCUAAUGCUGAGGAAGGACAUAAUUCUGACUAUCCUAUGCAGUCGAGCCUAUAAUGAGCCAGACACUGUGACCAACAGUGUACUGCCUUUGAUAGACAUUAGCAAACUCCACAGUUCAGGGACAUAGGGAUGAAAAUGGUGAUGGUCUAGCGACUCUAGCCAGUGACAAAAUCAAUAUUCUUCAAAAGAAUAAUUUUAAACAAAAAACUUAAUCUCACAACUUUAGCAUCUUUGGUGGGGACGUGCUAGGCCGAAAGGAUAUUGUAUGAACUGGUCCCAUGACAUUUGGAAAAAAUAAACAUGCCGGUAAGGAACAACAAUUUGCAUUGAAACACAGUCUAAAAUUUACAAGAUGCUGGGUGCUCUAAUGGAGUUUGACGUUGAACCUAAUAUGGAAACAAAGAAGAAUAUGCAGAGUCACUGAGAUCAAAUUUAAAGGAGCAUCUUGAAAAGGAGAGAGAACUAGAGGAUUUAGGAAGAGAAUUCCUGAGAUUAGGGCCGAGGCAGUUGAAGGCACAGUAGCCAGAAGUAAUAAUGAAUAUGGACAACAACGAAUUUGGAGGCUUGUAGAACAUUGCCAAGGUAGGCAGGCUGUGGUGCUAUUCGAAAAGAAAGGUGAAAAUUUUAACUCACAGACUAGAGAAAGGUAUGAUAUAUCUUUGUCUCACAAACUAGCUGGAGUCCAUGCAGUUCAAAUAUUGCGAGUUUCACAGCAGACUCAGAUUAUAAGACAUAGUGCUGAUGCUGACAUAAGUAUUUUCACUUCCUCAGAUGCUGGAUUGAUAUACAGAGUCUUUAAAUUUUGUGAAGAAGCAGAGUGAUGCACCAUCAAUAACUCUCUAAGAUGUAAAGGCAGCCACAGAACAAAGAAGCAUCAUGGAACCCAUUCAAGAAAACAUCAAACACUGAACGCACGACAAAAAAGAACAAAAAUGGAGAGGAGGACAGGUCAAAUGCCCCUGCCUUGGUCAAGACUUCAGCCUUGCUCGAUGCCCCAGUUGCAGAUAAAUAAUUGAGUGAAUCAUGGGCUCGCAUCCUGCCUCCAGGCUACCAGGCCUUGAGGUCACAUGCUCCACUCCAAACCUCAUCGAACUCCCUCAGGGACAGGAAAGUGCCAGGUUAUUCAAUCCACCCCAAAACACACCAUAAAAAUGUAGAUCAUAGUUUCCAAACCCACACAGCUUAGCAGUAGAAACAUAUUUGAAAGGGGAAGAGAUAAACAAAGUGGUUUUAUGAACCGUCUACAGGACAUCACCAUUGGUCAUGUUGUUUGCUGGUGCCAUCUUGACAGAGCUUUUUGAUACAUUUCUGAUAAAUUUUGAUACAUUGUUUGAAUAAUCUCAAAGGCUAAGUGGGAGAAAGGAUUCUCAGCACUCUCCACCAACGGAAGCUCCUUAUCUCUGCCCAAGUCUGUGGUAGAUUGGUGGAGAUUGUUUUAAAGUAUUAUCAUACAGCCACUAGUGGAAGAUGAGCAAAAGGUAUCCAGCAUUCCCGAAAAUCUGGACAGCUAAUUCGGAGAUUAAAUUACACAUAUACUCCUGAUCUGUUUGAUGUGUUUCUGAGAGUGCCACACUAGUAGCAAAGUUAUCAAGAAGCAGCACCUAACAAAGCUAUAGUUAACUAAAUAAAAACACAAAAUAUGUGGGGUGGCAUGGUAGUAUAGUGGUGACCACGAUGCUAUAGAGUAGCAUGGACAUGGGUUCAAUUUCCACCACUGCCUGAAAGGAGUUUGUAACCGUAGGUUAGGGUUAAACCAGGAGUUGCAGCGCGAUGCGGCUUGAAAGGCCUGGUCUGUGCUAUAUAUCGAUAAAUAAAAAUGCUGCUGGAACUCAGCAUCUACGAAAAUGAAUAAACAGUCGAUGUUUCAGGCAGACGGCCUUCAUCAAGACUGGAAAGGAAAGGAAAAGACUCCAGAAGAGAAGGGUUGGGGGAGGGGAUGGAGGAUAACCAGAAGGUCACACAUGAAGCCAGGAGGCUGGAGAUGAGGGAAUGUGAUAGGAGAGGAGAGCGGACCAUAGGAGAAAGGGAAGGAGGAGGGUUUAGGCAGGCUAGAGUGGGGAACAGGAAAAGAGGGGAGGGGGAGGGAUUUUUUUUUACCAGAAGGAGAAAUCAAUUUUCAUGCCAUCAGGUUGGAGGGUACCCAGGCAGAAUAUACGGUGUUGCCCCUCCACCCUGAGGGUGGCCUCAUCAUUGCACAAGAGGAGGCCAUGGACUGACAUGUGGGAAUGGAAAUGGGAAUCAAAAUUAAAAUGUUGGGCAACUGGGGAAUUUCUACUUUUCGAGGAUGGAGCUCGACAAAGUGGUGCCCCAAUUUAUGACGGGUCUCACCUAUGUAGAGUAGGCCGCAUUGGGAACACCAAAUACAAUAGAGGACCCUAGCAGAUUUGCUAGUGAAAUGUUGCCUCAACUGGAAGGACUGCUUGGGGCCCUGAAUGGAGGUGAAUAAGGUGAACUAAAUAAUUGUUUUAUAGAUGUUUACUUGGAGAAAGUCGCUUUAUAUGCAGAGUGGACAACAGAGGCCAUUCUACAAGAGAUCCAUGUAUGGAAGAUGAUGGUGUAGAGGUAAGGGUAACCUAAUAGAACAGUUUAUUGUAUUCUGCUGGCCUUGUAUCUAUUUGUAGUAUAGAUUGUUUCAAUGCAUUGUAAAGGGUUAAACAGGAAAAUCGCUUUCCCAGUGUAGGAUGCAGCUUGAUCUAUAAGGACUUCUGGUAUGGUGGUGGUGUGUUCAAUCACAACGGCGUCUAUGGCGUCAACCAAAGGUGUUAUUGUCCUUUUUAAACAUAUUUCUUAUGAUCGCAAGACUCUGCUGGACAUCAAGAAUUUGAAGUACAGUAGGUCUACCCGAUACACAAAAUGCUCAUUAGCAGAGAAACUGGAUGGUGCAGAUCAUGCCACAGCCUGCCACAGAGAGGCACUGGAGGAUUUGGUGCACACUCUAACAGUGAGUCAGAUUAGCUGCCUUCCUUCUGAUUGUAAGACCUUGGUGGACAUUGUAAACGUGGACUGCUACAGGUCCAAUUCACUGAUUUAUUGGUAAUCCACAGGGGAGCUGCGUGGCCUUGCCUGUGGUGAGGACAAGCCCUCAAUCCCGUGUCCCUGUUUACAGCUGCCCAGGACAGAGGUGUGAGAGUCCGCGUGGCACAGUGUCCAAGCUGGAGUCACGGUUACCCCACACUGUUACAUUUGGCGGAAGGCAAGCUGUGUUAUGUUUGACUGUAGAUGGCUGCAACAUUCAUGGACUCAGGAUCUUGGAAUAUUCAUUUUUGUGACUGCAUUUUACUGAUGUCUUAUAUAUGCCUUGUGCUGUGCAAAACUGUUUCGCACCUUGGCUCCAGAAUAACACUGUUUCAUUUAGCUGUAUUAAUGUGUAUUCAUGUAGAGUUGAAUGAUAAUUAAAUCUUAACUUGAUUUGCUCAGUCA